rnacentral:lncRNA from 1 species
GUUCAUUGAAUUUAAAACUGAAGAAGGAACCCGCCAUCUACUUGGUAAACCGUCGAUUUUUAACGAAACUCGUCUGCUAACUUUUUCGUGACCCGAUCGGGUUUUAAGUAACCCACAUUUUCUCAAUUUCUCUGCCUUGACACUUUCCCAGUUUCCCCAAUCCCGUUUCGUCUCAAAUUCUCCGAAAUUAGGGAUCUUCAUCCUUGAAAAUUCAAUAAGCUCAGCCGUCAUCUCCAAUCUCUUGCAAUUCAACCACUCCUAAAAAUCAUAAUAUCCAAGUUCGAGUUCUAACUUCUAAGAGAUGGAACUGGAAGAGCAGGCUAGCUGUCAGAUGUAUUUUGCUACAAAAAAUGACCAAAAUUGAUUUUAUACAUAGCAAAUUUUCUAGAUCAUACAUUUAUGUUUUCUUCUUCUGUUAACUGUUUUUAUUGUUCAAAUAGAUUACAAUAAAAAAAUUAUUUUCUUGUUUUGUUCAUUGGUUGUGGCGAUGGGAAAUAGAAGCGUCUAUUGGAAAAAAGCUAAAAAGAAUUAAGAAUGCAAUUCAGUAAUUGGAUUGGCUUAAAGGUGAGGUCCCAGUGAGAAUGAAAUAGGCUUUUCUUUCUGUGGUCAAUUGGAUUGGAGGUCUGUACACUACACUAAGAUUGAAAUCACUUGUUAGGCUUGAUGACAAAAAACCCCGGGUAAAUUGCUUAUUUGUAAUGUAUUUGUGUGUGUUAAACAUACAUAAUACAAGUACAUAUUAAGGUAGAGUAUAUAUUCCUUUGAUCUGCAUUUACAUUUUUUUGGGGAAUGAUGGAAGAUGCUUUCUUGUUAAGGGAAUAAAUUCGGUGUUGCCUUAGUUCUAUGGAACAUGAGAUGAACACUAAUUGCAAUCUAGGCUUGAAAUAGCCUCAACUUCAUGAAAUUGAUGUAGUGCGUCAAGUCUUAUGAAAUAGCCUCAACUUCGUGUACAUUUCCCUGAUGUUAAUAAUCAAUUGUUUGAGUUGCCUAGGUUCAUUAAUUUUCCAAUGGUGAACAAGCAAGAUGUAUAGUUUUUUUCCUUUGUAUAGUUCACUGGUGAGAAUAACACUAUAUUUCAUCUCCACUAAAGAAUGGUGCUAGAGGAAAACAAAUAUUGCAUGGGGUCAUUGUAAAGAAAUAUUAGAAACUGGUAAUAAUGGAAAUAAAAACAAAAGAGAGAAUGGUGGAUGUGUUAUGGUAGUAGUGCACCAAACCUACAAACACUUGCAAUUCGAGUAUUAAAUCAAACAUGUAGUUCUUCAAUCUACGAGAGAAAUUGGAGUAUGUUUGAACAUAUUCAUUCAAAAAAGAGAAAUAGACUCGAGCAUCAACGACUUAAUGAUCUUGUUUAUGUUCACUACAAUUUACGAUUGCAACAAUGAUAAUGUUUUGUAAAUAAUUGUUUUCAUCCUGUUGUGAUUUAUUUGAUUUUAAGAUUUUGCAUUCUUCUACUAGAAUUAUAUUUGAUUAUUUAUAAAAUGGAUUAUAAACUUUGUUUAGGAAUUAUUUCAAGAGUCGAAAUUAUGAUCCUGUCGACAUUGAAAGGUUUGACAUCUAUGGUAAUUAGGAGUUAGAGGAGGAGCCACCAACUUUGGUAGAUGAUAAGUUGGAGGUAAUUCAUCAUGAAUUGGGUGCAUGUACUAUACAAAAUGACAAAAAUGACUAUUAUUGUUCAAUUAGUGCUAUUGUUUCUUCUUUAUAUUAAAGUAUAUAUGAUGUAACAUUGAAUUUUAAAACUUUUUUCCAGAUGAAUUACAUUUUGAUGAUUUUGAUCUUGAUUGUUAUGAAAAUGUUGGCAAUGGCAACGAAAAGAGAAGUGAUAGAAACAAUGGAAACGAGCAUUUUAGUAUGAUCAAGACUUCGUCAUUUAUACAAGGCGAAGGAAUUGAAGAAUUUAUGUCCGAGUCACCAGCAUGGGAUGCGUUCCAACUUUUCUUAAUUAAGAAAAUAUUGAUUUUUCUCAAAUAAUUUAAUUUGUUCACAUGUUCUUUAUCCACAAACUGGCUUUUAGAUUAUGGUUUUAGUUUUGCAAGCAUAUUCUUAUAACAUAUGAAGCUAUCUUGUUGGAUUUUGUUAGAUAAAGUUGUUUUUUUAUCGUUGAUUGUUAUUUUUAUAGUUUCAAAUGCAUAUUUGACUACAUACGAUUUAGAAUUUGUGUUAUUUGAGAUACAUAUUGAUAUUUUAGUUAACAAAAUAAUAUGAGGUUAGUUUACUUAUUGGUAGGAAGUGGUAAAAUUUUAUUAUUGGGUAUGAAAAUAUUUAAUAGUAUAUUUGAUAGGAAUUGACCCACCAGUUGAACCAUCGGGUCAUCGGUUGAACCAGUAACUCAGUGACCUGCUGCAUUGUUUGGGCCGAGUCUGACAACUAUGAUUUUGACCACUUUUAAAAAAGGAAAAAUAAAGUCGAUCUUCUUCCCCAACCAAAAUCUUUGAAACCAUAACCCCAUCGUUACUUCUCAAAUCCCCAUGGCCAGAAAGCUAAAAACUCCUACCUCUGUAGCCCCUCCACAACCCAAACCUAUCCAACCAGUCUCAAAUCAAAUAGCUAGACCUGGAAGAAAACCAACUAACCUAAUAAGAAGAAGAACCCAAAGUUGAGUAAGUAGAAGUCGAAGAAUUUUAGUAGCCAAAAAACAUUGAGGAGCCUAAAAAUGAUGAAGUUAUGAUUGACCUAGAGAAGAAUGGACAAGAAAAUGUGGAAAAGCCCUCGAACGACGUUAUUUCAGGAGAAUAGCAAGCAAAUGGUGAGAUUGCAGCCGAAGAGCAAAAUGAAGAAGUAGAAGAAGAAUUCAAGGAGGAGCCAAUAGAGAAACUUUUGGAACCUUUUCUAAAGACCAGUUAGCAAUUCUGAUCAAAGGGGCUGUGAGUAAAUACCCUGAUUUCAUGGAAAGUGUGCACAAAUUGGCUGAUGCCGACCCGUCACAUCACAAAAUAUUUCUUGUGUUCUUUAUAACUUAUAGAAAAAAGCUAGAUGUACAGACAAUGGCUCACAGAGGACUUACAGAAUUGGAAAAAAUGGGUGACGUGUCCUUUUAAAAAGAGAAAGAAGACAAGGUUGAGAAGGAGUUCCAGGCCGAUUUCAAAUCGUUCUCACAAAUGGUUCCAUGUGCAACAAGCUUUGAGAUGGAAAAACAAUUUCAGGCAGUGUACACUAUUGCAAAGUUUAAGGAAGUUCAGGAUGAGUUUAUAGGAAAGAUGUAUUGCGAUGUCGCUUCACAAGCAGAGGGGCCGGACAGGAUGAAGUAUGAGGUUCGGGAGUCUGUAGUAUAUUGCGAGGGCAAAAAGAAGAAAACGUUUUCAGUGUCAUGUCAGUUGGACACGUGUCAAGUGAUGUGCAGUUUCCACUUAUUCGAAUUUCGAGGAAUUCAUUGUUGACAUGCGAUCACAGUUCUUGAUCGUAAUGACGUUACAAUUAUGCCGGAGAGGUACAUAUUGCGACGAUGGAGGAGGGACGUCAGUAAAGUACACAUGCGGGUUGCAGUGAACUACGUCGGGUUGGUAAGUACACCUGAGCAGUUGAGAUAUGAUGAUAUGUGUAAGGCAUUUUCUGAGGUGGCGGACCUCGCUGCAAACGAUGAAGGGUAGGCACGAGCAAUAAUGGAUUGGAUAAAAUCUCAGGCGACGGAAUUGAGGACUGCAAGGCCGAAUUGUGGUAGUAAUUUUCUUUCCCAGCAAUUAAUGGAAGAGAAGAAUUCAUAGGUACCGGGUGCAGAUUAUUUCCCAAUGGAAUUGUACGUAGCAAAUUUGUUCGGUCCUGUCCCAAAUACUCAUGCAGAUACGUCGACUCACUACAAUGCUGGAAACCCAUAUUGCAGGUGAAGUUGGAGGUUGCCCGUCUUGUUGUGUUCUAUUUCAUUUGUAUGCCUCGAUUAUGAGAUUUAUGGUAUUUGAUUUCAUCUGUAUCUAUAGAUGCACGUGUGGUAAAUGAUAGACAGAUUACGGGAUGUAUGGUACCUGAUUUCAUAUGUAUUGUGUUGAAGUUAUAUACAAUUAAUGGGUUCUGUGAAUGAACUUUAUGGCAUGUAUGGUCAAAAACAGGUUUUAUGAAUGCAUUUUGCUUCUUUAUUUUGGGGAAUUUUUUUCUCAUUAAUGUAUAGGCA